CUGAAAUUUCAUUAUUGUUAUUAUCGCUUCCCAAACUCGGAAAACGAAACACAAUGUCGUCAUCGCGAAUUGGAUACCACCACUAUUAUGAUGGUAAUCAGUGUUGCCAUAAAUUCAUCUGUACUGGAAAGGGUUUAAAAUAUUUUUAGUUGUACUUUUUCCUUCAAACAUCUGACGUUGCUGAGCCGAUUUAGUAGCUUUGAUUUGUUGUUGUUAUAAUCAGAAAAAUCGCUUGACGAUUGCCGAGAAGUAAGAUAUAGUAAGAAUGUUAGAAACAAGGUGUCGAAGCGACGGAUAUGCGAACGAACCAUAAAUGAUAUGAUUGACUUACGAACUAAUUUCCUUUUUAGGGCACGUUAUUUGUUUUCCAACUCUUGCAAAUUCUCAUCGUAGAAACCUAUAAACUCUUCUAAUACUACUUUGAUGCUUAUUGGAAGUUUCUAGAGUUUAACAUCGCAGCAGCAUUAAGUAUCGAAUUAUUGAAAUCGAAUCUUUUUCUUAUUCGCUCAACCAACCCCACCUGCCAUAAAUAUAGAAAAAAUCUGUACCAAUCAAUAGUUUAGGACAAAAAAUGUGUAAUCUGUACCGUACAGAAUGUAUUCAGAAAAAAAUCAAAAAUCUGUAGCUGUAGAUUUAUCGGGAGAUAAAUCAGUACUUGUGGCAACACUGGUGGUAACGUCAAACGCAGAUUAUCUUUCAUCGACGUUCCUCCUGAAUAAAUUCGACCGAUUUCCUACCGUUGAGCAUUGUGCGAAUUUAAUAUAAAUUAUUAAACUAAUCCGAACGUUUUACAAAUAUAGCGACAUCCGGGGAAAAGGAAAGGUUCAGGGAUAUCUUAAAACAAGUGUGUACAGUGUUUGGGAAUGGAUUUGUGGUUUGCUCGAUUGAUGCAUCGUUGAAUUGCAAAUAUCGGCAGGCGCAGCAAAGUAAAGUACCUUCGAAGAAGCGGAAAAUUACUAAGAAACUGGUGGUGAACGCAAGAAGUGAUAAUGAGAACUAUCGGAACUCUGGAAAUUACGGAAAGACAGAAUUCAGAAUAAGUCUGGAUCAGUGCUUCGCAGUUACCUGUGACAACGGAAGGAACAUGAUUGCAGCCGUUAAUCAGUUGCAAUCAUAUCUGCAAACGAUGUCCUUUCCGAUCGAUGAUGCAGAAGACGAAAAUUCCAAGGUUCCGUUUCAUGUCCGUUUUUUGAGCUCCAUAAACAACCACUGUCUCCUCUUUACUUGAAAGCACGUUGGGGCGGUGUCUUUCAGAUAAUAGAGUUCUACAGCAAGCACGAAAUCUUGCAGAACAAUGAGAAUCUCCGAAUACGUGGCAUACGCCCGUGAGUAAUCGGUCCCUCAUUCCUUUAACCAUAGAAAAAGUGAUAAUGUAAAUAAUAAAUUAUAAAUAAGAAUUUUAUGAAUGCUUUUUAAGUGAAAAUGUGAAUAAACAAUAAAAUUAAGAAUUUG